rnacentral:rRNA from 1 species
AACGAACGCUGGCGGCAUGUCUAACACAUGCAAGUCGAACGAGACCUUCGGGUCUAGUGGCGCACGGGUGCGUAACGCGUGGGAAUCUACCCUUGGGUUCGGAAUAACAGUUAGAAAUGACUGCUAAUACCGGAUGAUGACGUAAGUCCAAAGAUUUAUCGCCCAAGGAUGAGCCCGCGUAAGAUUAGCUUGUUGGUGGGGUAAUGGCCUACCAAGGCGACGAUCUUUAGCUGGUCUGAGAGGAUGAUCAGCCACACCGGGACUGAGACACGGCCCAGACUCCUACGGGAGGCAGCAGUGGGGAAUAUUGGACAAUGGACGAAAGCCUGAUCCAGCAAUGCCGCGUGAGUGAUGAAGGCCUUAGGGUUGUAAAGCUCUUUUACCAGGGAUGAUAAUGACAGUACCUGGAGAAUAAGCUCCGGCUAACUCCGUGCCAGCAGCCGCGGUAA